CCGGGUUUAAACUGCGCUCGAGAGUGAUGUGCUCAUCAGUUUGGUGCAAUUAGCGCUAUAACCCGUGCCAGCGCAACCCGCGGUAAAGACAAAGCUGCAGGGGGAGGCGGUGUCAUCCGGCGGGUUCGGCACUCGGAGCCGUGGCCACCUGCGCGUGGCCGUCACGGGACAGGGGAACCCGGCUGCCGCCGCGGGCAGGGCUGCGGAGCCCGGCGAAGAGAUUUGGACCGGCUUUAUAAAUUAAACAGUAUGCGAUGACAGCUUUGGAGAGAUCUGGUGGGAGGAAAUGAGGAAAUGUCAGGAAUCCCACGUGGACUCAGUGAAUCUCUGCCAAUAACAAGGACCCCAAGAGCUACUCCCUGGAAGCCUCUGCCCCCAAGGAAACACCACCUUCCUCAUCGAUCACAAUAUCUCAGUCCAUGUGCAGCCAUUGCAGUCUUGUGCCACAGUGUCCAGCACAGACAUCUCUCUUAAUACAAGAUUAUAUGUGGUAUCCAUAAUCAGAUAUGUUGAAGAUACACACCUCCAUUUGAAAAAAAGUCCAGCAAGUCUGAAUGUUCUCAAUGAGGAACACCAAGUCCAUUGCUUUGGGUUGCCAGGGGCAGGCCCUGCUACUGGCAGAAAGAACAUUUGCUCUGCUGCCUUCCUGAUACUCUCUCAUGGCCUCUACUUUUCCUGCUGUGCCUUGAAUGCCAGUGGAGAGCAGAAAUCACAUGGAGAGGAAUUUACUCUGAGCUCUGCACCACAUCACUGCUGAUGUUUAUUCUGGAUGGGCUGAACUGUUGUGUCUAGAGAUUGCCUUCCAUUUCAUCAAGGGAGGCAGUUACUGCCUGGACCUUAAAAUAAUGCAAAACCAAUCAGUGCAUAUUCAUUGAAUUCUGAAAAAAAAAGGCAAGAGUCAUGAUCAAAAUAUUCAUAAAGGAAAGAGUCAUAGCAGAGCAAUUAUUUUGAUGGGGAAUAUAUAGUAAUUUCCACUUGGGAAGAUAACAAUAAACUGCAGUUCAAAACUUGAAAGAGUAGAGUCAGAAAUCUCUUUGGUAGCAAGGUGCUGUCUAAAGCUGGAGGAGAGUGAAAAAAGCAAUCCAGGAAAGAUGUGUUUAGCUUCCAGGCAUGCCUGUGGAAUAAAGAAGCUAAGCAGGGGAAGUGGAGAGAGAGACAGGCUGGCAGCUACUAGUGCAAGUGGAGCAACAGGCCUCUUGUACGUAAGGGCAGGGAAGUUUGGUCAGAGUGAGAGAAUGGAUUGGAAGUUCUCUUCUAGGGAGCAAUGUUCUGAAAGUAAGGGACAGUGUGAAUAACGGGAGAGGAGAUAGAGGAGAUGGAUGAGGAAGUGGGAGGGAGGAAAGCUAUCAGGUACAGCUUGGGAUUGUGAUGAACUCUAGUGGUGCAUUUUUCUUCAGAAGUUUGGUGCUAAAAGAGAUAAAAUGCUGCAGGAUGUUAAUGGCCCCUAGGGGAAGAAGGGGAUAUAGGGGUGUGGAGAGGAGAAUAAAUUACCUGUGGAUUCGCUUAUUGGUAAGAAACAUUUCAUCUCCCAUCCACAGAAUCAUGGGUUGCCUUUUUCCAUACAAGGGUUAAAAUUUACAUCACUACUGGAGAUCUGUUUAAAAGUGUGUGCAGGUUAAAUACACUGAAUCCUCAUCCCAUACACAGUAAGGCAGCUACAAGUCAAACAUAAUGACAGUGCUGAUUAAUUAGGUUCUCCUACCCCCAGCACUUGAGAGUGAUUUAUUGAGACACAUCUCUAACCUGAUCCAUUGUGCUGACUGGAUUAAUGGAGUGAGCUAGAGAAAUUCACUGGCAAUGUUAGAUACAGAGCAGGAAAGCAUUAACCCUUGGAGCUUCCUUAUCUAGCCUAUUGACAGAAUAUUAAUUAUGACAAAACAUACAUGUCUCACCUAAUUAUCUUUUGAUAACUAGGCAUAUAUUUUUAUUCAUGCAUGAUGAAGUUACUGGAGUGAAAAUCAUUUACGCAUAAACAUUUUAGGAAAAUGUGGAGAUAACGCUGAAUUUACAGGAUCCACUGUAAACAGGAGACUAUAAAUGUCUUCCUUUAAUUUGUGACAAUUUACUUUAGAUUAUUAGAACAAUUGAUGGAGCAAGCAAAAAAAAGUUAUUUUGGAAUAUAAAUUGAGGCAUCAUUAGGUUGCAUAUAUACAAACACUCACGAUGCAUUAUAAAUGCUGUGUUUUCCCUGGACUUGUCUCUAACAGGCUUAUCUUCUCAAACUUGGGCCCAUUUCAUGCAGUUAAACGGCAUUCCCUAAACCCCACUUAUAUUCCAGGUUAAUAGUUUACUCAGAACUGCAGAUAUCAGCUCCUUGUGAUUAUAACUCAGGCUGCCUGAGCUAUUUUUAAUACCUCAGAUAUCUAAGACAAGGCAGGAGCAUCCCAUGAAGUGGGAAGCAUGAGUCUCCAAACAGGAGUCUCAGGGGCUUCAGAAAUUUCAGACACAUCUUCGUAGGGGAGCAGGAUCACCAUAUCUCACAUAGGCAGUGUCUGCUUUCAGCAGUAAACAGGGCUACAAGUGUAAUUUAUUUGUCUAAUAUUGCAUAUGCUAUUUCAUAUUUGCAAGAUGAUAUUCUUCAGUCAUCAAAAGUAAAUACGAAUGAUUCCUGGUUCAGUGAACUUCUCAAUAAUUUGAAAGAUAGUUCUGUGCAAAAAAACCAGAUAGACAACAAAAAGAAAUUUUGUUUCAAGAUUUUCAAAAUUAAUCACUGCUGGUUUUAAUUUUGAUUUGACAGAGAGAUGGAGGGAAAAUAAGGUAAUUUUUUUCAUUUUUUGCCAAAUAAAUAUUAAAACCACACAAAGUUUAAAGUUUCCUAUUUGGGGAUUAAAUUAAGAGACACAGAGACACAUCUUGUUACAACUGUUCUACUUACACCAUGAAAAACAUAGAUCAGCACCACAAGGCCAGUCAUUUCAGUUUGUAACUAAGCUGCUACUGUAGAAAGAUAUAGGGUGUGUGACUGUAAAAAACAGAAUCAUGGAAUAGAAUCAUAGAAUAUUUUGGGUUGGAAGUAAUCUUUAAAGGUCUUCUAGUCCAACUCCCUUGUUGUCAGCAGGGACACCUUCCACUAGAUCAGGUUGCCAAUAGCCCUGUGCAAGCUUAUCUAGAGGGUUUUCAUGGACAAAGCAUCUACACCCUCUCUAGGCAACCUGUUCCAGUGUUUCACUACCAUUCUCGUAAAAAAUUUAUUCCUUAUAUCUAGUCAGAAUCUGCCCUCCUUUAAUUUAAAACCAUUACCCCUUGUCCUGUCUCUAGAGGCCACACUAAAAGGUCUGUCCCCAUCUUUCUUAUAAGCUUCCUUCAAGUAUUGAAAUGCUGCAAAAAGUUCUCCCAAGAGCCCUUUUUUCUCCAGGCUGAACAACACCAACUGUCAGCCUGCACUCAUAGGAGAGGUGUUCCAGCCCUCUGAUCAUUUCUAUAACCCCCCACUGGAUCUGCUCCAACAGAUCCAUGACUUUCAGCAUCCCUCUUCCUACUCCCUGCUCUUUUAUUCCAAGCGUCUACAAUGGAAGCACUUUUUCUCAGAGGAAUAGAUUAUUCUACCACAAAGUCUGUGGGGCUUUUGUGCACCAAGAUGUGGGUCUUGUGCAGGUAGAUUGUUGGAGGAUAAUUCGACCAUCUCUACUUCAUUCAAUGUGCAUUUUUGUGAUAACAACGUUGACUUAGUCUUCCCAUCAACUCAGAUGAUCUAGCUCUGUAUAAUGUCACAUACUGUGUCAUAUUUGACCACAGACCUUUCUCUGUAUAUCUUAAUGUUUCUCUUCCAGGAAUUUACUGCUAUGAGCACAAUGAAGGAGAACAGAAGUAUACUCAGAAUACUCAGAAUACUUGCUUGUUGUUUUCUGAGCCAGAAGAAAGUAAAUCCAUUCCUCUUUGUACUUUCUUUAUAUAAAUAAUUCACAUGCGGACAGAGCUACAGUGCCUUAAUUAGUACUUUUAUUCUGUAUUUUUAUGCUUUGUAAACUGGCUUUUUUUGCAAGGUCUUUCCUUGCAAAACCAAGGACAAGCUAUGACAGAAUUGGGCCAAGGACAAGCUGUAUCAGAAUUAUAGACUUAAGUUAUCUCUUAGAAAUGCAAGACCUUUCCAAGAUGGAUUAAAUUCAGCUAAAAUGAUCAGGACUUCACCAUUGCUUUAGCCUUUUGCCCUCAGGAAACUGAAGAGAAUAGAAAAAAAGUUUUCCAGACUGGGAAAUUACUCUUGUCACCCCAUGACUGAACCAUCUGCCAGGCAGACGGAGGGGACCAUGAGAUACAGGAGCAAUCUCUGCAGAAGUGGCCUUGCCCUGACAUCUGGCAGGGCAGACUGGAUUUCCCUUGAUGCAAAACUCUUGAAACAUCUAGUGACCAAGUGUGAGGCAGAAAAUGGUUGUUCAGUAAGAAUUAAUUAAUUAGAAUGUAAAGGUUUAGUAACAAAAAUGAUUUUUUUUUUUUUUUGUCACUUUGUGCUCUGGAUAGCAUGACAAUAAGGGACAGUUUGAGGAAGCUGAGCAUCAGGGCACUUUUUCAUUUUAAGUAGUGACUGGGAUUUAUAAUUUGGUUGCCUGAGAGGAAUCCGUGCUGUAAAUACUUGUAUCAAUCAGAGAAUAUGAAACAGCGACAAGAAGAAUAGGACAUGAGAAAAACAUACCAUUUUAAGCAUCAAAGAGAAGAUUCAAGUUAUAUAUUAGAGGCUGGUACGGGGGAAUGGCUAAAACACCUCUCAGGAUCCCUUUUUAAUUUUUUUUUUUUAAUGAAUACUGCUGAUAUCUGCUAGUUUGCUUUUUUGUUUGUUUUUCUGUUUUUUUUUCACACAGUAAUAAGUGUCGUUUUGGAGGCGGUGGAGAAAGAUAAAAAUUGCUUGCUUAAAUUAUUUUCUCUGCUCACAAUCAAUCUUGAAUUAUUCAUAGUAGGAAUAGGGAAGGAAGUAGGAGACUGCAAAAUGUCAAGGUUCAAGCUGUGUCAUUGUGUGCAAAAUCCUCUCUAACAGUAAUGCUAAAGGUAAGUAUAAUGUUGGCGGGAAUGCUACAAGAAAGGUUCCUUGCUGUGUGUCAUAUACUUGUUCCCUAACCAGUGUUAGAAGUCAGAGUUAAGUGGAACACAGGUCUGUUCCAAUACAGCAAUACUUAGAGACCAUAAGUAAAAAUAAUUUCAGGAUACUUAUGGUGUUUUAUAUAUA